CCUACGCGUGGCCACAGUGGGGAAUAUUGCACAAUGGGGGAAACCCUGAUGCAGCGACGCCGCGUGAGCGAUGAAGUAUUUCUGUAUGUAAAGCUCUAUCAGCAGGGAAGAAAAUGACGGUACCUGACUAAUAAGCCCCGGCUAACUACGUUCCAGCCGCCGCGGUAAUACGUAGGGGGCAAGCGUUAUCCGGAUUUACUGGGUGUAACGGGAGCGUAGACGGCUGUGCAAGCCAGAUGUGAAAGCCCGGGGCUCAACCCCGGGACUGCAUUUGGAACUGUGUGGCUGGAGUGUCGGAGAGGCAGGCGGAAUUCCUAGGGUAGCGGUGAAAUGCGUAGAUAUUAGGAGGAACACCAGUGGCGAAGGCGGCCUGCUGGACGAUGACUGACGUUGAGGCUCGAAAGCGUGGGGAGCAAACAGGAUUAGAUACCCGAGUAGUC
rnacentral:rRNA from 1 species